AAGACCUUGCACUUUUGGAGCGGCCGAUGUCUGAUUAGCUAGUUGGUGGGGUAAUGGCCUACCAAAGCUUCGAUCAGUAGCUGGUCUGAGAGGACGGCCGGCCACACUGGGACUGAGACACGGCCCAGACUCCUACGGGAGGCAGCAGUGGGGAAUUUUGGACAAUGGGCGCAAGCCUGAUCCAGCCAUGCCGCGUGAGUGAAGAAGGCCUUCGGGUUGUAAAGCUCUUUCAGCCGGGAAGAAAAGGUUGCGACUAAUAAUCGCAAUUCAUGACGGUACCGGAAGAAGAAGCACCGGCUAACUACGUGCCAGCAGCCGCGGUAAUACGUAGGGUGCGAGCGUUAAUCGGAAUUACUGGGCGUAAAGGGAGCGCAGGCGGUUUUGUAAGUCAGAUGUGAAAUCCCCGGGCAUAACCUGGGAACU
rnacentral:rRNA from 1 species